GCCCCCGUGGCGGAAUGGUAGACGCGAUCGACUCAAAAUCGAUUGUCGCAAGACGUGUCCGUUCGAGUCGGACCGGGGGCACCA
rnacentral:tRNA from 3 species